UAACGCACUCCUACGGGAGGCAGCAGUGGGGAAUAUUGCACAAUGGGCGCAAGCCUGAUGCAGCCAUGCCGCGUGUAUGAAGAAGGCCUUCGGGUUGUAAAGUACUUUCAGCAGUGAGGAAGGUGGGUAUGUUAAUAGCAUAUUCAUUUGACGUUAGCUGCAGAAGAAGCACCGGCUAACUCCGUGCCAGCAGCCGCGGUAAUACGGAGGGUGCGAGCGUUAAUCGGAAUUACUGGGCGUAAAGCGCAUGCAGGUGGUUUGUUAAGUCAGAUGUGAAAGCCCGGGGCUCAACCUCGGAAUUGCAUUUGAAACUGGCAAACUAGAGUACUGUAGAGGGGGUAGAAUUUCAGGUGUAGCGGUGAAAUGCGUAGAGAUCUGAAGGAAUACCGGUGGCGAAGGCGGCCCCCCUGGACAGAUACUGACACUCAGAUGCGAAAGCGUGGGGAGCAAACAGGAUUAGAUACCCUGGUAG
rnacentral:rRNA from 1 species